rnacentral:rRNA from 1 species
GACGAACGCUGGCGGCGUGCUUAACACAUGCAAGUCGAACGGUAAGGCCCUUCGGGGUACACGAGUGGCGAACGGGUGAGUAACACGUGGGUGAUCUGCCCUGCACUUUGGGAUAAGCCUGGGAAACUGGGUCUAAUACCGGAUAGGACCACUGCCUGCAUGGGUGGUGGUGGAAAGCCUGUGCGGUGUGGGAUGGGCCCGCGGCCUAUCAGCUGGUUGGUGGGGUGAUGGCCUACCAAGGCGACGACGGGUAGCCGGCCUGGGAGGGUGACCGGCCAGACUGGGACUGGGGUACGGCCCAGACUCCUACGGGAGGCAGGAGUGGGGAGUAUUGCGCAAUGGGCGCAAGGCUGAUGCAGCGGCGCCGCGUGAGGGAUGACGGCCUUCGGGUUGUAAACCUCUUUCAGCACCGACGAAGCGCAAGUGACGGUAGGUGCAGAAGAAGGGCCGGCCAACUACGUGCCAGCCGCCGCAGUAA